UGAUAGUACACAUAUUUUACACAGUGAAUGCAAGAUUUGUGCCCCUUAGAGGCCAACUAAUACGAUUUAUUUAUCAUUAUAAAAAAUAAAUAAAUAAUGGCCAUCAUCACGCUGUGCUAUCAACAAUAUAUGAGUUCUCUGAUGGCCUACACCCUUAAAAUUUGCUGAAAUGAAAUGAAUUCAGGUUGCGUUUGUUUCAGGCCAUAAAGGAAUUCAAGAAGGGCAAAGCUGAAUACAGAGCAGAUAAAACUGGGAUCGUUCACUUACCCUUUGGAAAGUCAGAUUUUUCUGAAGAAGAUCUUCUUGUGAACUUGCUUGCUGCAGUAAAAUCAGUAGAAACAAACAAGCCAUCUGGUGCAAAAGGGGUAUACUGGAAAAGUGCACAUAUAUGCUCAUCAAUGGGGCUUUCCAUUCAGUUAAAUAUAAGGGAAAUGCUUGAUUUCAAGCAUGCGACUUUGAAUGUUCAAGGAAAUAACACAUGUAAAUUAUAUCUUCUAAACUAUUCAGGUAGCUUCUUGGUUUCCUCCACAGGGACUUGUGAAAGUUUGAAAAGGGUAGGACACAAGCUGAGUUGAAUAUGAUAGGGAGGUAUUCAGAUUCAUGUUUGCAUUUACAAAGAGCAUUGCAUUGGCUGCUGUAUGCUAGUUGUAUCAAAAUCUUGUAUUGGUAUCAUGAACUUUUUUUUAUGUAUUUUAUUUUA